AGGCGGAAAUCUGAUCAAGAAUCUCCAGCAAAAUUAAAAGCUCAAGACUUUCAGGUUUGCGUAACAAUAAUUGAAGCGAGACAUUUGGCCGGGCUUAACAUGGAUCCUGUUGUAUGCGUUCAAGUUGGUGAACAGAAAAAAUAUACUAGCGUUAAAGAAUCAACGAAUUGCCCUUAUUACAAUGAGUAUUUUGUGUUUGAUUUCCAUAUGGCUCCAAUGAUGUUCUUUGAUAAAAUCAUUAGUCUAACGGU